rnacentral:sRNA from 1 species
CCGGAAGACCCUAUUUUCAGGUUCUCUUCCCUCCAUUCCUACCCCUUCCCCGGUACCAUAAAAUCCUGGGAUAUGAGCCGGAAGAGGCAUCAUCUGAUCCCGGAGACCCUUGGAGUUAAGAGGCGGCGGAAGCGAGGGCCUGUGGAGUCGGAUCCUCUUCGGGGUGAGCCAGGGUCGGCGCGCGCGGCUGUCUCAGAACUCAUGCAGCUGUUCCCGCGAGGCCUGUUUGAGGACGCGCUGCCGCCCAUCGUGCUGAGGAGCCAAGUGUACAGCCUCGUGCCUGACAGGACCGUGGCCGACCGGCAGCUGAAGGAGCUUCAAGAGCAGGGGGAGAUCAGAAUCGUCCAGCUGGGCUUCGACUUGGAUGCCCAUGGAAUUAUCUUCACUGAGGACUACAAGACCAGAGUCCUCAAAGCCUGUGAUGGCCGACCGUAUGCUGGGGCAGUGCAGAAAUUUCUAGCUUCAGUACUUCCAGCCUGUGGGGACCUUAGUUUCCAGCAGGACCAAAUGACACAGACCUUUGGCUUCAGGGACUCAGAAAUCACGUGAGACUUGUGGAACCAACAAAGUCAGGCAUCUGGUGCUUCCCUGCCUCCCUCCAGUUCCAUCCAGCCUGUCCUUCUGUGUUUUUGGUGAACCUGCCAGAAAAGCUGCCAAAAAGCUGACUCUUCUUUUUAAUGAAAUGACCCAAGUUUGUAUUCCUCCCCACAAGAGAGGAGGCCUGUCUUACCUGGGGCCUUAGAAAGAGUCCUGGAAUAGAAUUCAGUUCUUGGUGGCUUAUCAAAAGCACACAGGGACCUGGCAGGAACUGUAAAAGCUUGAUGUUAAUCAUACUGGGACUAAGAGGAUAGAGAAUGUUAGGAGCUGGGAUACCCCUAAACAUUUACAUUAAAACAAAAAAACCCCAAAGCUAAAAAACAACUGGGCAGGAGCUAAAUAAAAAUCUAAUUUUGAGAGGCUGUAUCUGGCUCAGGCCUCCUACUUUGUAACCCAUGGAAUAUGUGAAAGCAUUUGAAAAACUGUAGCACUGUCUCACAUGGGCAGACACACUCUCAGAGAGAUGUGGUGGGAGCCAUGGCGCGGUCUGCCUAGGCAGUGGCAGGAGCGCAGAAGACCCUGAUUCCUCUCCUUGGUCCUAAGACUGAAUGUGUGUCAGGACACGUGGUCAGGGAAGAGAAGCUAUUUAAAUGAACCAGUAAUAGUAGCAGGACAAGAAAGAGUGGAGGGAGGGCAGUCCAGGUAGGGGGCCUGGAACAAGCAACUGCACCAACAGAGGCAGUUGGUGCGAGCACAGAACCACCCCAGGUUGGGGUUUUGUUAUCCAGUCUCUCUUGCGUGGUUGCCCAUGUUUCUGGAGACUUGUGUAAGCAUUAAUGGAUGAGAAGGAGAGAUGGUUCUCAGAGCCCAGGCCUCAUCUCUGCUGGCUUCCCACUGCCCUCAGGCAUCUGGUGAACGCUGGAGUCCUCACCGUCCGAGAUGCUGGGAGCUGGUGGCUAGCUGUGCCUGGAGCUGGGAGAUUCAUCAAAUACUUUGUUAAAGGGCGCCAGGCUGUCCUUGGCAUGGUCCGGAAGGCAAAGUACCGGGAGCUGCUCCUAUCAGAGCUCCUGGGCCGGCGGGCGCCUGUCGUGGUGCGGCUUGGCCUCACCUACCAUGUGCACGACCUCAUUGGGGCCCAGCUCGUGGACUGCAUCUCUACCACUUCGGGAACCCUCCUCCGCCUGCCAGAGACAUGAAGAUUCUGCUCAUCAUUGCUCAGCUCCUCAGAGUGGGCCGGGAGGGGACUAGAAGAGCUGCAUGAUGGUGGCUGAGACAGGGUCACCUUGGGAAGGCUUGGGAGCCAGGAUGAGUGUUGGGCUCUCGUGUGUGCAAAAGGUCAGAUGUGACUGCUGCUGU